CGUUCCCGGGUCUUGUACACACCGCCCGUCACAUCACGAAAGUUGGUAGCACCUGAAGCUCCGCCUUAGGCGGAUCCACGGUGAGACCAAUGAUUGGGGUG
rnacentral:rRNA from 1 species